AGGAAGCAAGGUAACAUUAACUGUGAAGAGACUUUUGGACCUAAAGUACUUCGACUUCGAGAGUUAUCGUUCUUCGUUUCUCCAUUAUUGGGGUUUAAUCGUACCUAUCGACCAUUGUUUAGAAAAAGUCUAAGUAACAAGAAUAAAAUGAACAAGCUUCCAUCAAGAAAAGUAUAUGUUGGCAAUUUACCUGAUAAUUGUGACAAAGAAAAUCUCCAAAAAUUGUUUGAGAGUGUUGGCAAGAUUGCAGAAUUUGACGUUGUGAAGAACUUUGGAUUUGUUCAUUUUGAGACAGAGGAAGGAGCAAAGCGAGCCGUUGAUGAACUAAAUGACACAGAAUUUGAAGGAAUGGUAAUCAAGGUUGAGCUUUCUCGAAGUAAAGUACGACAUAAGCCUGGAAUGGGUGACAUGACUGAGUGCUACAGAUGUGGCAAAGAUGGCCACUGGUCCAAGGACUGUCCCAAAGCUGGUCUGAAGUCUGUUCACAGUAGAGGGAGAGGCAGAGGAAGGGGAGGACCACCAAGGCCAGCAGAGCCAUAUGGCCCACCUGCUUUUAGAGAUCCAUAUGCUGAUCCAUAUGCUGACCCAUAUUUAAGAAACCGCUACUUUCCUUCUGGAUAUGACCGUUACCAUCCAUAUGGGGAUCCUUAUGACCGCAGACCUGCACCAUACAGAGAUCCUUACUAUGAAAGAGACCCUUAUGCACGACCCUCAGUUGACUACUAUGAUAGACUUGCAGCAAGGGAUCCCUAUUAUGAUUACUAUGCAAGAAGAAGAUAGCUGAGUGGCUAGAGCACUGGCAUCUGAAUCUGGAGGUGCACCUGCUUGAUACAUGUGUAGCACAGCGAAAUUCCUCAGUCGACCCAGCUGUUGGGAACGGGUAUCUGAUUCCAUAGAGGGUUGGGGAAGGUAAGGCAGAGAGAGAGAAGCUGGCCAUGAGAAGAGUCUCCUAACAUCCCAACAACCAACGAAAAAAGGAGGAUGGCCUUUACUACCUCCUUUUUUGUGUAUGUAACCAUGCACAGACAGAAAAUGCAGACAAUCUGACCACACAUUUCACCUGCCAGCCUUUGUAAGUGAGUGUGCAUAUUUUUCCAAGAGAAUAAAUUAACCUCAUUAAAAACAAAAUCUAGGAAAAUGGUUUUGGAAAAGCGAUGGACUUUUGAAGUUUCAGACCAUAACAGACCCUGUAUUUUGCAGAUUUUUUUCGAUACAUUAAAAAAAAAUAUUACAGCGAGACAGGCACAGCUUUUCACACCAUAAAAACUUUCUAAUUGUUGGAUAUUGAAAAGAAAAUUUCAGCAGGAAAACUUUUUCUUUUCCACAUUAAAUUCACUAUGUUUCUUUUCAGUUUUGAUUUAAAAAAUUUCUUUCCAGGCUGUUUGCAUUAUUUCUAGCUACAUGAUCAUUAGAGAUAAUGUUUUGUAAGAUAGAAAAAGCCUGCAUUUUCUUGAGACAUUUCUGUGACAACUCUAAUAUUGUAAUGAUAGCCACAUUUGUUUUAGUGAUAUUAAAUGAUUUAAACAAUUGUAAGCAGUCUUCCUUUUAACAUUAACCUUAUUAUAAUUUUUUUUAAAUCUUGAAUCCUUACUCCUAGCUUAAAGUGACCCAUCAGUACAACACAUACUGGGGAAGUUGCAAGUCUGAGGAAAUUUGCAGUGAUUCUCAAUUCCUUUGUUAUGUAGAAAAAAUUCUAAAUGUAUAAACUUGGGGACUUAGAAGGUCAAUGAAAACAAGUGUUAAGGUAGUUUGGUGACUGACGUCUUGUUUUUUUUCUUUUUUUUUUUAAGAUGUAGAAGAAUUUAAAGUUUAAGCUGACAGGGAGAGAGUAUUCAAUCAAAGACAUACACUGCAUGCAUCAAAUUAAGGAGGAAAAUGGAGAAUAAAAUGAUAAGGGCCCUGAGUGAAGAUGGAUAUUGUUUGCUUACUAGUAGAAUAAUAGGUGAUUCUUCAUGCAGCAGUUCAAGAGAAACAGGUUGGUAUCCUUGCAGUGUUGGUGUACGAUUUAAUGUGAUGAGUGAACCUAUUGUUUUACAUUUUCUUUUUUCAAAAUAUGGACCUACUAUCAAUGUUAACACUAUGAGUAAUAUUGGGCUUCAAUAACUCAGCAAGCCAUUACCUAAACAUUUUAGCUUAACCAUCUUUCAAUGAUAUAAGGUGAAUACAGUAGUUGGUCUUCAGUCAUUUAAGGCUUUAGUCUGUAUACCAUUUUAUAUCUGAGGCACUGAAGGCAUGUCUUCGGACUGUCCACAUUUCUAGGCACAUCAAAGCUGUAGAUAUUUUGCUCAAGUUUCUAGGGCCAUAUCUUAACAAGUGAUAGCUAUCUGCACACAUCUACCUCACAUCAUGUGUUGUAAUGAAAAUUUCUGAUCAAAGGUUUAACGCUUGUCCUUUUUUUGUCAGGAUCUGGCCAACUGACAAAUUUAAACUAAUUCCAUUUAAUUCACCAAUCCAGUGGGCUAAAAUCGUUUGGGUGCCUGCUGCUUCUUGUUUUCUGGGGAUUUUUUGUUUUACGUUUCUUACAUCUUUGCUGCUUCAUAAAAUUUUGUCCAUGUACUUUUUUACAUUGUGAGGUAAUAUUAAAACUAUCAUUAACCAAACUGUCACUUGUUGAAAAAUUUAUUUUACCUUUGAAAAAUAACUGUGUUUUUGACAGUACACAGAUAUGAAGAAAACCAGCUGACUGAUGAUCAGUAGUGUUUUGCUUCAAACCUCAUUCAGGCAAAGUUGAUAUCUGUGCUAGCAUCGACACAUGAUGGCUGCACUUCAGGCAUAUUUAUGCUAGUGCAUGUUUGAAAGAGAGUACAGCAUGAAGAAAGCUACAUUGGCAGUUUUGAGCAUGAGAAGCAUUGCUCACAACUCAGCAGGAAGAUGCUACAUGUUUUCUGUCACUGCCCCCACCCACCCUCCAAAAAGUGCAGUAAUUAUGGCACUGACGAUUGUUGUGGAGUCCACUGCACUUGCUCAAAUGAAGCACCAUUCACUUCAGCUCAUGAGAUGUGGCAAUAAACACUUAUUGAGACUGAAAUUAAAGGUCUUGAUGACCAUUCUUACAUUAUAGCAAUGUUUCAAAUAGCAUAUCUGUGGAACAUGCUACCAUGAUCUAAAAUUACUUUCAGUAACAGAUGUCUUUUAAUUCUCUGUCAGUUUGUUGUAUUUGGACAAUCAUUGAUGUUCAUGUUAUCAGUAUUUUUUUUUUAAAUGGUCUCAUCUAGAAACUUCCACUUAAAGGCAGAACUUCAGACCAUAGGAAGAGAAUGGUUUCAUCUGUGCAAGGAAAGGUAGAAGUACAUGUGGUGCUGACAACUAGUGAUCAGUCAUCUCCAAUUACUACCCUGCAGGUGCUCCAUUUUCCCUCGCCUAGGCGAAACCAUUUUAAAAACUGCCCACAAGAAGUUCUGCCUUUAAGCUUUUAUGAUGAAAUAUGUCAAAUAAAGCAGUUUAUCAGGUCAGUUUGAAUUCAAAGAAUAUUUCAAAGGUUGAGAGAGAUAUGUUGUAUCUGGUUCACUUGAUGGCUUAUUAAAAAAUGUCAUCCUG